GACGAACGCUGGCGGCGUGCCUAAUACAUGCAAGUUGAGCGCUGAAGGUUGGUACUUGUACCAACUGGAUGAGCAGCGAACGGGUGAGUAACGCGUGGGGAAUCUGCCUUUGAGCGGGGGACAACAUUUGGAAACGAAUGCUAAUACCGCAUAAAAACUUUAAACACAAGUUUUAAGUUUGAAAGAUGCAAUUGCAUCACUCAAAGAUGAUCCCGCGUUGUAUUGGCUAGUUGGUGAGGUAAAGGCUCACCAAGGCGAUGAUACAUAGCCGACCUGAGAGGGUGAUCGGCCACAUUGGGACUGAGACACGGCCCAAACUCCUACGGGAGGCAGCAGUAGGGAAUCUUCGGCAAGGGACGAAAGUCUGACCGAGCAACGCCGCGUGAGUGAAGAAGGUUUUCGGAUCGUAAAACUCUGUUGGUAGAGAAGAACGUUGGUGAGAGUGGAAAGCUCAUCAAGUGACGGUAACUACCCAGAAAGGGACGGCUAACUACGUG
rnacentral:rRNA from 1 species